AUUGAACGCUGGCGGCAGGCCUAACACAUGCAAGUCGAGCGGAGCGGCGGACGGGUGAGUAAUGGCUGGGAAUCUGCAUGGGAGUGGGGGAUAACGUCCGGAAACGGACGCUAAUACCGCAUACUAUCAGAUGAGCCUAGGUCGGGUUGGCUAGAGUGUGGGGUAAAGGCAUACCAAGGCGACGAUCCGUAACUGGUCUGAGAGGAUGAUCAGUCACACUGGAACUGAGACACGGUCCAGACUCCUACGGGAGGCAGCAGUGGGGAAUAUUGGACAAUGGGCGCAAGCCUGAUCCAGCCAUGCCGCGUGUGUGAAGAAGGUCUUCGGAUUGUAAAGCACUUUAAGUUGGGAGGCGUUACUAACAGAAGAAGCACCGGCUAACUCCGUGCCAGCAGCCGCGGUAAUUC
rnacentral:rRNA from 1 species